UUCAGCUAGGUGUACGUAACGACGUAGAUUGUGUUGUAAAUCGUCAACCCCAUCAUCCAGCUGACAAGCCAAACUAGCUUUUCUUGGUAGACUGUUUGUCUUUAUUCAACUUAUAUAUUGUAAGUAACCAAAUAUGCAAUUGACUGAUUAUUUAGGUAUUUAAUUGCGCAUUCCUGAGCAUUAUAGAUUACAAUUCAAAGUGUACAGUAGUUAGCUCUGCUCAGCUAGCUAGCUACAACCCUACUCGUCAAAAUUAUCCAUCCAUAGUUCUGGAUUAAUCGAAUAAAGAAUGGACAGCCCCAGCCCAGCAGCCCACCUUCACUGUUGAGCAGGCCAGAUGUAAGAACAGUUGUCACAUACUUUUGUCAUAUUACUAAUGCCCAGUAGUGGCACAGAUCUCUUCAAACUGCUUGUGUUGCAGUGGUGCUGAGUGAGGUCAUCCAAGCCUUCUCUGUGCCAGAGAAUUCAGCGCGGAUGGAGGAGGCACGGGAGAGCGCCUACAACAUGGGCAAGAUGUGAUAGCUGGUGCUCCCCAUGGCCACCCGGAUCCAACAGGAGGUCAUCAAGGCUUAUAGCUUCAACAACGAGGGAGAGGGAAGCAACUUUGUGAAACCAGUUCCAUACAGAAUGAAGGGGUAGAGAGAGACAAUCUAUUGUCACUUGUCAGUGGCAUUGUUUUGUGUGAAUACUGAAUGCUAUCUUUUUGCAUCAUGUUCAGUUUGACCUAUACUGAACAAAAAUAUAAAUGCAGCAAUUUCUAAGAUUUUACUGAGUUAGUUUAUAUAAGGAAAUCAGUCAAUUGAAAUACAUUCAUAAGGCCCUAAUCUAUGGAUUUCAUAUGUUGGUCACAGAUAUCUUUUUAAAAAAUGGUAGGGGUCGUGGAUCAGAAAACCAGUCAAUACCUGGUGUGACCACCAUUUGCGUCAUGCAGCUCGACACCUCCUUCACCUUGAGUUGAUUGUGGCCUGUGAAAUGUUGUCCCACUCCUCUUCAAUGGCUGUGCGAAGUUGCUGGGUAUUUCAUGAACACACAAACACGUCAAUCCAGAGUAUUAAAAACAUGCUCAAUGGGUGACAUGUUUGAGUAUGCGCUGGUGGAAAUUCCUGCAGUCAGCAUGCCAAUUGCCCUCAACUUGUGGCAUUGUGUUGUGUGACAACGGCUCAUUUUAGAGUGUCCUUUUGUCCCCAGCACAAGGUGCACCUGUGUAAUGAUGCCAUUUAAUCUGCUUCUUGAUAUGCCACACCUGUCAGGUGGAUGGAUUAUCUUGGUGAAGGAGAAAUGCUCACUAAGAGGGAUGUAAAAUUUGUGCACAUACUGAGAGAAAUAAGCUUUUUGUGCGUAUGGAACAUUUCUGGGAUCUUUAAUUUCAGCUCAUGAAACAAACUUUACAUGUUGCAUUUAUAUAUUUGUUCAGUGUAUUUGUGAAAUCAUGGUGGUCAAUCACAGUAGUCAUUGCUUGUUUUAGCUAUUUUUCAGGUGUUCUUAAAUUUGCUCGUCUCGUGAAGAUGUAUGAAACUCAGGAUCCACAGAUAGCAGCCAUAUCAGUCAAACUGGGGUCUCUUCUCCUGCCUCCCCUGUCCACUCCACCCAUUGGUGGUACAAUCCCAGCCUCCUAGCAAACUAUUUUACUGUGGACCGCCUUGUUUUUCCCAGAAGGGACAUCUACAAAAUGUUACUGUACUUUCAUCAAGUAUGUGCAAGCCUGGAAUUCAGCUCAUGAUAUUUUCAUUCAGUCUUAGGUGAGAGUGAAUUGGUUACCUUAUUUCUAAUGUUCUGAGAUAAAGCACAUCUUCAUUGGUUGAAAUGAAAACACUGUCAGAAACACAAGCACUGACCAGGAUGGAUAAAUUACAUCCUUUAAAGUUCAGUUAUUUUGCAUUCCUGGAUUUAAAUGCAAUACACUUGACAGCUAACUGUAAAUCUAUUGUUUGAAUAUUUUCUUUCAGUAUUAGAUUUUUUUAAUGUUUUGCCUUGUCAUUUUUACCAUUAAUUGCUGUUUGAGAGGACUGUGAUUUUUUUGGUAUAAAACAUUUUAUACUGCUAUUGUAUAAAAUGUAAAUCUCAGUUGUCACAGCUAGAUAAGUUGUAUUAAUAUAAAACUCAAAUUUGAGAUAUUUUAAAUGAAAGAUAACAGCAACACAAACAGAUUAAAACAACCUUUAUUUUGGCAGUAA